rnacentral:rRNA from 1 species
CCUACGGGAGUCAGCAGUGAGGAAUAUUGGUCAAUGGACGAGAGUCUGAACCAGCCAAGUAGCGUGAAGGAUGACUGCCCUAUGGGUUGUAAACUUCUUUUAUAUGGGAAUAAAACGUUCCACGUGUGGGAUUUUGUAUGUACCAUAUGAAUAAGGAUCGGCUAACUCCGUGCCAGCAGCCGCGGUAAUACGGAGGAUCCGAGCGUUAUCCGGAUUUAUUGGGUUUAAAGGGAGCGUAGGUGGAUUGUUAAGUCAGUUGUGAAAGUUUGCGGCUCAACCGUAAAAUUGCAGUUGAAACUGGCAGUCUUGAGUACAGUAGAGGUGGGCGGAAUUCGUGGUGUAGCGGUGAAAUGCUUAGAUAUCACGAAGAACUCCGAUUGCGAAGGCAGUUCACUGGACUGCAACUGACACUGAGGCUCGAAAGUGUGGGUAUCAAACAGGAUUAGAGACCCGAGUAGUC